GGAGUAAAAGUCGUAACAAGGUCUCCGUAGGUGAACCUGCGGAGGGAUCAUUACAGAGUUCAUGCCCUACCGGGCAGAUCUCCCACCCUAUGUUAUUAUUACUUUGUUGCUUUGGCGGGCCGUUAGGCUCCGGCCCGACUACCGGCCCCGGCUGGUAAGCGCCCGCCAGAGGACCCAAAACCCUGAAUAUUAGUGUCGUCUGAGUACUAUAUAAUAGUUAAAACUUUCAACAACGGAUCUCUUGGUUCUG
rnacentral:misc_RNA from 1 species